CCUACGGGAGGCAGCAGUGAGGAAUAUUGGUCAAUGGGCGCGAGCCUGAACCAGCCAAGUAGCGUGAAGGAUGACUGCCCUACGGGUUGUAAACUUCUUUUAUAAAGGAAUAAAGUGAGGCACGUGUGCCUUUUUGUAUGUACUUUAUGAAUAAGGAUCGGCUAACUCCGUGCCAGCAGCCGCGGUAAUACGGAGGUUCCGAGCGUUAUCCGGAUUUAUUGGGGUUAACGGGAGCGUAGAUGGGUUGUUAAGUCAGUUGUGAAAGUUUGCGGCUCAACCGUCAAAUUGCAAUUGAUACCGGCAGUCUGGAGUACAGUUGAGGUAGGCGGAAUUCGUGGUGUAGCGGUGAAAUGCUUUGAGAUCACGAAGAACCCCGAUUGCGAAGGCAGCUUACUAAACUGUGACUGACAUUGAUGCUCGAAAGUGUGGGUAUCAAACAGGAUUAGAUACCCUGGUAGUC
rnacentral:rRNA from 1 species